GAGAAAGCUGAGGAGACAGAACACGCGUGCAAGGACUCCGGGACCCGCGGUUCCCGGCCCGCGCUGCCGCUUUAAAUAGCCCUUGCAUCACGUGGUGAGGCGUGGCCCACACCCCCAGCUCCCGAAAUAGGAAGCCUCAGGCUGGCGCUCCACCGCCCGGAGCUGGCUGCCCAUCCCCCACGACCCGCCCGGCCGGGGGAGGGGGACAGCUAGUGGCUCCCGGCUCUCCUGCGUCAGCGCGGGGGCCCGGCCUCCGAGUCCCUGCCCCGCGCUGGCGGGACCUGCUCUCUUCCCAGGCCUCCAGGCGCUCGUCGCAAUCUGAGGAGGAAGCAUUGAGGGCACGGUGCCCGCGAGGUGGGGCGCGCGCUCCGGACAUCUUCGUCUCCCAGUGACUCCCCGAGCUUGGGGUUAGAGCAGAGAGCCUGCGGUGUGAUGGACACUUUACAAAGCGCUUUUAAUAGGAAGAUCCACCUUGUAUUGAUGUGUUUUUUUGCACGUCGCCGAGGGCUUUAAGUGCAUUUUCUCCUUGAACUUCCGGAGCAAAGUCCACCAAAUCCAGCUGUGGAUACAACAUCUGGCAGGCCGCAGGGCCAGUCCCUGCCAAGAGCGCAUCUCCGCAGCCCUCGCCCUAUGGUGAUGUCACUGUUCUGUGUCUCCACGGCAACCACAGGCUGGGAAGAUGGAGAAGAGGAGAGCCGAGUAACCAAGAGAGAGCCAAUGAGAUGGGCCAACUGCACCGGAUGAUCCGUGGGGCCAUGGGGCGGGGCUGGGGGGAGAGCAGGGGGCCUACUCAGCAUCUUGGGCUGCUUCCUGGACCCUCCCUGCCAUCUGGACGCCUCCGAUAGGGGAUGUGCCACUGGCACGGGGAGAAAUGCCGGAGGUAGAGGCCAAAGAAGCUGAGCUGGAGCCUCCACUGACCCAGGGACAUAGAGACCCCCCCAUAACCUCUUUGGGGCCUAAUCUGUGCAUGCUGACUGCCCCACUCCACCCCCAGGACCUGCUGCUGGAAUUUUUUUUUUUUUUAUGGUAAUGGUGGUGCAGCCCUCUGCCAUGGAAUCAAGUUCUUAACCCUUCUCUCCACACCCUCCAUAGCUUCCCCUGGUGCAUGAUGUAUUCAGAAGCGGCAUCUUUGGAAAGAAGCCUGGUUCUAAAUCCCAAGCCUGCAACUUACUAGUCAAGAGACUAGGAGCCAGUCCCUUCCCCUUCUGAGUCUCCUUUCCUCCCAAAUGGAGGAAGGGCCAUCUACUCCCAGGGUUGACAGGAGGAUUAAAAGAGAUAACAUAUG